AUUGAACGCUGGCGGCAUGCUUUACACAUGCAAGUCGAACGGCAGCACAGGGAGCUUGCUCCCGGGUGGCGAGUGGCGCACGGGUGAGUAAUACAUCGGAACGUGUCCUGUUGUGGGGGAUAACUGCUCGAAAGGGUGGCUAAUACCGCAUGAGACCUGAGGGUGAAAGCGGGGGAUCGCAAGACCUCGCGCAAUUGGAGCGGCCGAUGCCCGAUUAGCUAGUUGGUGAGGUAAAGGCUCACCAAGGCGACGAUCGGUAGCUGGUCUGAGAGGAAGGCCCCCCANACUGGGACUGAGACACGGCCCAGGAACUCCUACGGGAGGCAGCAGUGAGGGAAUAUUGGGUCAAUGGGCGAAGCCUGAACCAGCCAUGCCGC
rnacentral:rRNA from 1 species